rnacentral:misc_RNA from 1 species
UUUCCGUAGGUGAACCUGCGGAAGGAUCAUUCAUAAUAAAGUGUUUUAUGGCACUUUUUAAAAAUCCAUAUCCACCUUGUGUGCAAUGUUAGAUCUCGUCAAUCUUGGCGAGAUUUUUAUACAUCAACUCAUUCUUUAACUAAUUUGUCUGAAAAAUAUUAUGAAUACUUAAUUCAAAAUACAACUUUCAACAACGGAUCUCUUGGCUCUU